rnacentral:rRNA from 1 species
UUGUAAAGCACUUUCAGUAGGGAGGAAGGUAGUGUAGUUAACACCUGCAUUAUUUGACGUUACCUACAGAAGAAGCACCGGCUAACUCCGUGCCAGCAGCCGCGGUAAUACGGGAGGGUGCGAGCGUUAAUCGGAAUUACUGGGCGUAAAGCGCAUGCAGGCGGCCUGUUAAGUCAGAUGUGAAAGCCCGGGGCGUUAACCUCGGAAUUGCAUUUGAAACUGGCAGGCUAGAGUCUUGUAGAGGGGGGUAGGAAUUUCUAGGUGUAGCGGUGAAAUGCGUAGAGAUCUGAAGGAAUACCAGUGGCGAAGGCGGCCCCCUCGGACAAAGACUGACGCUCAGAUGCGAAAGCGUGGGGAGCAAACAGGAUUAGAUACCCUGGUAG